GGAUAAUAGCUCAAACGGUAGAGCGCUCGCUUUGCAGGCGAGAGUUACGGAGUUCGAUACCCCGCAUCUCCA
rnacentral:tRNA from 1 species